rnacentral:rRNA from 1 species
AUUCACAAGAAUAUGCAACACCUUGCAAACAGCGUUUACAGSCAGGAMUACUCGGGUAUCUAAUCCGKUUUGCUCCCCUGGSCUUCGUUCCUCACCGKCGAAWCCGUUCUCGUGUGACGCCUUCSCCACUGGKGGUCUUUCAUGGAUUAUCACAUUUUACCGCUCCCCAAAAAAUACCUCACACGCCUCCCGGUCCCUARACAUGUCGUGUCUUCUGCACGCCAUAUAGUUGAGCUACAUGAUUUCACAGAAGAUGCACAUAUCAGGCUACGAACGCUUUAGGCCCAGUAAUAUUGAAUGCCACUUGGGGCGCCGGUGUUACCGCGGCUGCUGGCACCGGUCUUGCCCACCCCUUAUUCGUAUAGCUAUUUACACUAUACAAAAGCCUAUACAAAAAGCAUAAGCACGUGGAGUCCCCCAUUCACACUGUCGUGCAUUGAURAGGUUUCGCGCCUGCUGCACCCCGU